rnacentral:rRNA from 1 species
AUUGAACGCCGGCGGCAUGCCUUACACAUGCAAGUCGAACGGUAACAGGUCUUCGGAUGCUGACGAGUGGCGAACGGGUGAGUAAUACAUCGGAACGUGCCCAGACGUGGGGGAUAACGAGGCGAAAGCUUUGCUAAUACCGCAUACGAUCUAAGGAUGAAAGCAGGGGACCGCAAGGCCUUGUGCGUUUGGAGCGGCCGAUGGCAGAUUAGGUAGUUGGUGGGAUAAAAGCUUACCAAGCCGACGAUCUGUAGCUGGUCUGAGAGGACGACCAGCCACACUGGGACUGAGACACGGCCCAGACUCCUACGGGAGGCAGCAGUGGGGAAUUUUGGACAAUGGGCGAAAGCCUGAUCCAGCAAUGCCGCGUGCAGGAUGAAGGCCUUCGGGUUGUAAACUGCUUUUGUACGGAACGAAAAGGCUCUGGCUAAUACCUGGGGCACAUGACGGUACCGUAAGAAUAAGCACCGGCUAACUACGUG